UUGAACGCUGGCGGCAGGCCUCACACCUGCAAGUCGAGCGGAUGAAGGGAGCUUGCUCCUGGAUUCAGCGGCGGACGGGUGAGUAAUGCCUAGGAAUCUGCCUGGUAGUGGGGGAUAACGUCCGGAAACGGGCGCUAAUACCGCAUACGUCCUGAGGGAGAAAGUGGGGGAUCUUCGGACCUCACGCUAUCAGAUGAGCCUAGGUCGGAUUAGCUAGUUGGUGGGGUAAAGGCCUACCAAGGCGAGGAUCCGUAACUGGUCUGAGAGGAUGAUCAGUCACACUGGAACUGAGACACGGUCCAGACUCCUACGGGAGGCAGCAGUGGGGAAUAUUGGACAAUGGGCGAAAGCCUGAUCCAGCCAUGCCGCGUGUGUGAAGAAGGUCUUCGGAUUGUAAAGCACUUUAAGUUGGGAGGAAGGGCAGUAAGUUAAUACCUUGCUGUUUUGACGUUACCAACAGAAUAAGCACCGGCUAACUUCGUG
rnacentral:rRNA from 1 species